UACGUAGGUGGCAAGCGUUGUUCGGAAUUAUUGGGCGUAAAGAGCUCGUAGGCGGUGUGUCGCGUCGGCCGUGAAAACCUGCAGCUUAACUGUGGGCUUGCGGUCGAUACGGGCAUCACUGGAGUUCGGCAGGGGAGACUGGAAUUCCUGGUGUAGCGGUGAAAUGCGCAGAUAUCAGGAGGAACACCGGUGGCGAAGGCGGGUCUCUGGGACGGUACUGACGCUGAGACGCGAAAGCGUGGGGAGCGAACAGG
rnacentral:rRNA from 1 species